UUACGGCCAUAUCACGUUGAAAAUAACGGUUCCCGUACGAUCGUUGAAGUUAAGCAACGACGAUAAUGGUCAGUACCUAGAUGGGUGACUGCUUGUGAAUGCCAGGCGCUGUAA